AGCGUUGUUAGCCUGAUAGUCUCGGGACCACCCAAUAUAACGUCCGAGGUAUUUAUCCAAACCUUUAUUCUCAGUUCCCCUCUGAUGUGACACAACCUCUCCACAUCAUCCAACAGGAAGCUUCCAGGCGUCCAUUUCCCAACAUUUUGAUUACUUGAGCAUAUUCUCGUCCGGCCUCUGAAUACCAGCUCUCUCGGUUCACAUUCAUUCUCGCUGUCACCUCUGCGCCAGGUUUCACCUGCGUUAUCUUUCUUCUGUGGCACGGGCCGUCCUAAGUCCUCUCCUGGCUUCUGUGGCGGCCCCGGCGGUUUCUCUGAGGGGCUUGAGGGGCAGCAGGAGCAGCGCGCAGGAUGACGCAAACGCCGGCGACUUCGGACUUGAGCUGGGGGCUCCCGUCAAGUUCUCCCGAGAGCCGCGGGCGCCCACGCUAGAACCUGACACUGGAAGAGUAUGAGAACCUAGACGAGAGCCUAGCUGCAACACAGAAUGAUGAUGACAGCCAAGAAGAUCGUCCACCCCACAGACCACCACGUCCAGGAGGCCACCACAACCACCAUCGCCCACCUCCUCAUGGAAACCACCACCGACCACCACCUCCACAGAAGGGCACUAGACCUCCUCCUCCAGAAGAUGAACAAGGUUAGGCGAAAGAGAUGUUCAGGAGGGGAAUUGCCCAGGAAUCUCUGGAUAGCAAAAAGAACUAUACAGGGGAGCCAGCUCCAAUCAAGAAUCAAAAGUGUUUACCCUAAAAAGAGGCAAAAAGGAUUAUCCAAAAAUAGAGGCCCACAGAAAGUGAAUAAGAAGAUAAUGUCCUUUAAGAUCCAUGACUCUGGAACCAUGAUGUGACAACCCUAUGUUUCAAGUACCAAUAAAAUAAUCAGCAUGCAAUUUCUCAUGGCCCUCGUCUCUGAUUUUGGUUAUCUGUGAAUCUCUCACUUACAGGACAUGAACACAAUGGGACAGCAUUCAGGACCCCUUCCCACUGAUGUUUCCAGCAAAGUUAGUUUCUCCUUUAUGGAAUCAAAUCAACUCUCAAAUGAAAUAAUUCUCUUGUUUCUCCCCUUCCCUGGAUUCUACACCACCACAAAUGA